UCACGUCACAAAGAGUGGCCCACAAUAACCAAAAGGAGGCUAUCUUUAUUUUUGUUGAAAUCAGUUCUAUUUCAGAUCAUCUUUGCGAUUUGUUCACUCUUGGGCUGGUUUAUGUUGUUGUUAUUUGGAUUUGGGUCUCAUCGGUCCCGGCUUUCACUACUGAUUGGAGAAUUCAAGUCUCAUUCGUCCUGAUUUGUUCAUCGCGACUAGUUUUGGGGUUUCAAAUUUCAAUACCGAGUUUGGAGUUGGUUCGUUCGUCAUUGGGGUUCUUGUUCGAGGAUUUUGAUCUCAGAUUUCUUUAUUAUUAUCAAUGAAAACAAGUGCUAUUGAGCCAGGGAAUGCCCCGAGAGACGUUGUAUUUACUCACCGGGGAAUGCCCCGACAUAUUAUGUUGACAGAAGACGUUUAUGAUGAAGGCCCGAGGCAUUGGGUAAAGCGCAAGAGCAUAGUUAGGGUUAGUGUAGGUUAGAUAGGAUUUAUUUUUGUGUUUUUAUUUAUUUUGGACUGUAUAAUUGGACUGAACACUAUAUUUUGGAUUUAUUUAGUUUCUUGUGUUUGGAUGCU